GACAGAGGGUGCAAGCGUUGUUCGGAAUUACUGGGCGUAAAGGGCUCGUAGGCGGCCAACUAAGUCAGACGUGAAAUCCCUCAGCUUAACUGGGGAACUGCGUCUGAUACUGGAUGGCUUGAGAUUGGGAGAGGGAUGCGGAAUUCCAGGUGUAGCGGUGAAAUGCGUAGAUAUCUGGAGGAACACCGGUGGCGAAGGCGGCAUUCUGGACUGCAACUGACACUGAAAGACGAAAGCCAGGGGAGCAAACGGG
rnacentral:rRNA from 1 species